rnacentral:tRNA from 1 species
GCCCGGGUAGCUCAAUCGGUAGAGCGUGUGGCUCUUAUCCCUAUGGAUCGAAACCUCAAGGUCGCGAGUUCGAGCCUCGCCUCGGGCU